rnacentral:rRNA from 1 species
UAACGCGUGGAUAACCUGCCUCACACUGGGGGAUAACAGUUAGAAAUGACUGCUAAUACCGCAUAAGCGCACAGUACCGCAUGGUACAGUGUGAAAGACUCCGGUGGUGUGAGAUGGAUCCGCGUCUGAUUAGCCAGUUGGCGGGGUAACGGCCCACCAAAGCGACGAUCAGUAGCCGACCUGAGAGGGUGACCGGCCACAUUGGGACUGAGACACGGCCCAA